rnacentral:tRNA from 1 species
GAGAUAAUAGCUUAGUAAAAGCGUUGGAUUUUUAAUCUAAAAAUAUAAUGGUUAUUAUUUGUUUU